rnacentral:misc_RNA from 1 species
CAAGAGGGAGUCAAACCAAAGAGUUGGGGCUAUAAGAGCCCAGACAAUGGCUACAGCAAGUCCAGCAGUCAACAGGGCUGUCCCCGAGGGCAAGAAAACCCUAAGGAAGGGCAGUGUUGUGAUAACUGGUGCCUCUUCUGGAUUGGGUCUAGCCACAGCUAAGGCCUUAGCUGAAACUGGAAAAUGGCACGUAAUUAUGGCCUGCAGGGACUUCCUCAAGGCAGAAAGAGCUGCCAAAUCUGCUGGAAUUGCCAAGGAAAACUACACCAUUAUGCAC